rnacentral:rRNA from 1 species
GACGAACGCUGGCGGCGUGCUUAACACAUGCAAGUCGAACGGAAAGGCCCUGCUAUUGUGGGGUGCUCGAGUGGCGAACGGGUGAGUAACACGUGAGUAACCUGCUCUAGUUUUUGGGAUAACUUCAGGUAAGUGGGGCUAAUACCGGAUAGGAGCUCCCGUUGCAUGGAGGGGGUUGGAAAGUUUCGGCGGUUGGGGAUGGACUCGCGGCUUAUCAGCUUGUUGGUGGGGUAGUGGCUUACCAAGGCUUUGACGGGUAGCCGGCCUGAGAGGGUGACCGGCCACAUUGGGACUGAGAUACGGCCCAGACUCCUACGGGAGGCAGCAGUGGGGAAUAUUGCACAAUGGGCGGAAGCCUGAUGCAGCAACGCCGCGUGCGGGAUGACGGCCUUCGGGUUGUAAACCGCUUUCGCCUGUGACGAAGCGUGAGUGACGGUAAUGGGUAAAGAAGCACCGGCUAACUACGUG